rnacentral:misc_RNA from 1 species
GGAAGUAAAAGUCGUAACAGGGUUUCCGUAGGUGAACCUGCGGAAGGAUCAUUAAUGAGUUGUCAUGGUGUUCGAUGCUGGCAGCCAGUUUUUGGAUGCAUGUGCUUGCCCUAACAAUCAUCUUCUUCCAAACACCUGUGCACAUUUUUGAGGGAGUCUUGAGUUGGUUGCCGCUCUUGGGUGAUUUUCUCACAUUCCCUUAAAUCAUUAUACGCUAUUAACAAUGUUGAACGUGCUCUGUGCCGCAAGGCCAUUAAUAUAAUACAACUUUUAACAACGGAUCUCUUGGCUCUC